CCAUCAGCUAGUUGGUAGGGUAAAGGCCUACCAAGGCGAAGACGGGUAGGGGGUGUGAGAGCACGGCCCCCCACAAUGGGACUGAGACACGGCCCAUACUCCUACGGGAGGCAGCAGCAGGGAAUAUUGCACAAUGGACGGAAGUCUGAUGCAGCGACGCCGCGUGAGUGAAGAAGGCCUUCGGGUUUGUAAAACUCUUUUGAGGGGGAAGAGCGAGGACGGUACCCCUGGAAUAAGCGUCGGCUAACUACGUGCCAGCAGCCGCGGUAAGACGUAGGACGCGAGCGUUAUCCGGAUUUACUGGGCGUAAAGCGUCUGUAGGCGGAUGUGUAAGUUGGGCGUGAAAGCUCCGGGCUUAACCCGGAGAGGCCGUUCAAUACUGGCAUAACUUUGAGGGUGUCCGAGGGGAGCGGAAUUCCCGGUGUAGCGGUACAAUGCGCAGAGAUCGGGAGGAACACCCUUGGCGGAGGCGGUUCCCUGGGGCACACCUGACGCUGAGAGACGAAAGCUAGGGGAGCGAACAGGAUUAGAGACCCUGGUAGUCCUAGCCCUAAACGAUGAAUGCUAGGUGUGGGAUCGAAUGGUUCCGUGCCGGAGCGAACGCGAUAAGCAUUCCGCCUGGGGAGUACGGCCGCAAGGUUAAAACUCAAACGAAUUGACGGGGCCCCGCACAAGCAGCGGAGCGUGUGGUUUAAUUCGAUGCUACACGAAGAACCUUACCUGGGUUUGACAUGUAGGUGGUAGUGAAUCGAAAGGUGAACGACCCUUCGGGGAGCCUACACAGGUGCUGCAUGGCUGUCGUCAGCUCGUGCCGUGAGGUGUCGGGUUAAGUCCCGUAACGAGCGCAACCCUUGCUCCUAGUUACAAGUGUCUCGGGGGACUGCCGGCGGAGAGCCGGAGGAAGGUGGGGAUGACGUCAAGUCAGCAUGGCCCUUAUAUCCAGGGCUACACACACGCUACAAUGGUCGGUACAAAGGGCAGCGAAACCGCGAGGCGGAGCGAAUCCGAGAAAAGCCGAUCGUAGUUCGGAUGGCAGGCUGCAACCCGCCUGCUUGAAGCUGGAGUUGCUAGUAACCGCGCGUCAGCCAUAGCGCGCUGACUACGUUCCCGGGGCUUGUACACACCGCCCGUCACGUCAUGGGAGUCGGUAACGCCUGAAGCCGGUAGUCUAACUGGAAACAGG
rnacentral:rRNA from 1 species